AGAUAUCAGGAGGAACACCGAUGCCGAAGGCAGGUUUCUGGGCCACCACUGACGCUGAGGAGCGAAAGCGUGGGGAGCGAACAGGAUUAGAUACCCUGGUAGUCCACGCCGUAAACGGUGGGCGCUAGAUGUGGGGACCCUUCCAUGGUUUCUGCGUCGCAGCUAACGCAUUAAGCGCCCCGCCUGGGGAGUACGGUCGCAAGACUAAAACUCAAAGGAAUUGACGGGGGCCCGCACAAGCAGCGGAGCAUGCGGCUUAAUUCGAUGCAACGCGAAGAACCUUACCUAGACUUGACAUAUACGGAAAACAUGCAGAGAUGUAUGGUCCUAACGGGCCGUUUACAGGUGGUGCAUGGUUGUCGUCAGCUCGUGUCGUGAGAUGUUGGGUUAAGUCCCGCAACGAGCGCAACCCUCGUUCUAUGUUGCCAGCACGUAAAGGUGGGGACUCAUAGGAGACUGCCGGGGUCAACUCGGAGGAAGGUGGGGAUGACGUCAAAUCAUCAUGCCCCUUAUGUCUAGGGCUGCACGCAUGCUACAAUGGCUGGUACAGAGGGCUGCGAUACCGCAAGGUGGAGCGAAUCCCAAAAAGCCAGUCUCAGUUCGGAUUGGGGUCUGCAACUCGACCCCAUGAAGUUGGAGUUGCUAGUAAUCGCAGAUCAGCAACGCUGCGGUGAAUACGUUCCCGGGCCUUGUACACACCGCCCGUCACGUCACGAAAGUCGGUAACACCCGAAGCCGGUGGCCUAACCGUAAGGA
rnacentral:rRNA from 1 species